rnacentral:sRNA from 1 species
ACGGAGAAUUCUCUGCCAAGCCUCAAAUUAAAUUGGCCCGGGCUUGGCACGGCCAGCUCGUCUAAGAGGAACUAAUUACUAAGCCAAUGUAUGCCGUGUAAAUAUAAAAAUUUAAAAACAAAAUUAUUUUUUUUACCAGUGGAGGUAUACAUUUUUAUUUUAGGCAUGAGGGGAUACAGGAACCAUGUUUUUAUAUUCUUGGCGACAUGGGCGUCACUUUUACCAGUGGCGUGUCCAGAUGCACGACACAAGAGGCAGAUUCUGUCAGAACAACCGAGGAUUCUAACAGACAACGGCAAUCUGGUAUUUCAGUCAGGCGUCAGUCGAAACAUAACAUUUCGAUCAGGUCAAAGCAGUGCCAUCUUUUUCAACAAUGUCGACCUGAGCCUUGGGCUACUACAGAUCACAUCGCAUAACAUGAGCAUCUCCAGUCUAAAUAACAGAACGAUAGCUGUAAGUAUCAA